UGUAAAGUUCAAGCUCCGAUUAUGAGGGCGAAACCGCGAAUGGCUCAUUAAAUCAGUCAUAAUCUACUUGAUUGUUUAAAGUUUAUAUGGAUAACUGUGGUAAUUCUAGAGCUAAUACAUGCACAAAUGGGGCGACUCUUGCAAGAGAGAAGCUCUGCGUUUAUUAGACUAAGACCAAUGAUCCAGCAAUGGAUCCAUUUUUAAGGUGACUCUGAGUAAAUAAUGGGUGAAAGCCCAUGUUGCUGACCUGACAUACCAAAAAGUCCGCAAGGGCUUGUCAGGCAAAUCAAUCGUGUGUCUGCUCUAUCAACUGUGGAUGGUAGGAUAAUUGCCUACCAUGGUGAUGACGGGUAACGGGGAGUUAGGGCUCGACUCCGGAGAACAAGCCUGAGAAACGGCUAGUAGGACUAAGGUCUGCAGCAGGCGCGAAACUUACACAAUGCUAGAUUACAAUUAGCGAUGUAGUGAAGAAAAAUAACGAUGUACUUCCUUCUAAACAAGGUAGUACAAUUGGAAUGAGACGACUAUAAACCAGUUAGUCGAGUAACAAAUGGAGGGCAAGUCUGGUGCCAGCAGCCGCGGUAAUUCCAGCUCCAUUAGCAUACAUUAAAGUUGUUGCGGUUAAAAAGCUCGUAGUUGAAUUUUAGGCGGGCUCUAUUGGGAUGCAAUCGUUAAGACCUCACUUGGUUAUAACCUAAUCAAGUUUGGUUGGUUGUCAUCGCCCUAUAGGAACCCGCUGUUUCGUCACUUAAUCGAGUGCGAAGCGGGCUGGUACAAGGAUUCAAUAUUCGCUAUUGUCCUGUUUCAGCAUGUUUACCUUGAGAAAAUUAGAGUGCUCACAGCAGGCAGUUGGGGUGUAAAAGCUCCUUUAUGCUUGAAUAAUGUUGCAUGGAAUAAUAGAAUACGGCCUCGGUUCUAUUCUGUUGGUCUUAUAGAACAACAAACAAGUUGGUUAAAGCGAUCAAAAGUUCGUUUGCGGAUGUGGUUCAUUGGUGGCCAUUUAGUUGUUGACUUUAACUUUAGCCUAGUUAUGUUACCUAAGGCCUUAAAAUCUUAGAGUCAUGCUAGCUUUAUGUUGGUCUUCUUAACUAUUUAGUUUUGCCUUUGUUCCAAUCUAAAGCAUCCCUUAUUGAGCUAGCUUUCUAAUCAACUGAGGCAAUGGUUAAAAGAAAUAGUCGCGGCGGCAUCAGUACUGCAUCGUGAGAGGUGAAAUUCUUAGACCGAUGCAAGACUAACUGAAGCGAAAGCGUUUGCCGAGGAUAUUUUCAUUAAUCAAGAACGAAAGUUAGAGGUUCGAAGGCGAUCAGAUACCGCCCUAGUUCUAACCAUAAACGUUGCCAACUAGCAAUUGGGUUGCGAUUCCUUUAAUCGAAGCUUAAAACACUUCGAUCAUUAUGAUCCACCCAGCGGCUCUCGUAGGGAAACCAAAGUGUUUGGGUUCCGGGGGAAGUAUGAUUGCAAAGUUGAAACUUAAAGGAAUUGACGGAAGGGCACCACCAGGAGUGGAGCCUGCGGCUUAAUUUGACUCAACACGGGGAAACUUACUAGAUUAGAACUCUGGAAUGAUUGACAGAUUGAUAGCUCUUUCUUGAUUCAGAGGAUGGUGGUGCAUGGCCGUUCUUGAUUCGUAUUCCGAAACGUCUGCUUAAUUGCGAUAACGAGUGAGACCUCACCCAACUAACUAGUCGUUUGGUGCGCUGUGGAACGCAAAAGUCUAGAUAGGAUUCUCUAGUUAAGGGGUACUUGUAUCAAUUAGCUAGUGCCUGUUUUAGAUGUUCUCUGCUCGCCAGCGGACUUCUUAGAGGGAUAAACGGUGUUUUAGCCGUAAGAAACGAGGCAAUAACAGGUCUGUGAUGCCCUUAGAUACUCUAGGCCGCACGCGUGCUACAAUGGCGUGUGCAGAAAGCUUGUUCGAGGUUUGUCUAGGGAGAACUGGUCGUUUGGUUGGAGUUUGGCAGCAAUGUUAGGCUUUAAUCGGCGGAGAAGUGACCCUAGUUAUCAGGCCGAGAGAAACCGUAGUCGAAAGAUUACGGCAAUCAUAAAUACACGCCGUGAUUUGGGAUUGGGGAUUGCAAUUGUUGCCCAUGAACGAGGAAUUCCCAGUAAGCGCAAUUCAUCAUAUUGCGUUGAUUACGUCCCUGCCCUUUGUACACACCGCCCGUCGCUACUACCGAUUGGAAGUUUUAGUGAGGCAUCUGGACCUGCUAUCCACAGGGGAGGCAACUCUUCUAGGACGGCGGGGAAGUUUGUCGAACUCAAAUUUCUAGAGGAAGUAAAAGUCGUAACAAGGUUUCCGU
rnacentral:rRNA from 1 species